ensembl:rRNA 5S_rRNA 5S ribosomal RNA
GCCAGCAGCCAUAUCACCCUGCAACUCACAGCUGGUAGCCUACUGAAGCUCAGCAGGUGUGAGCCUGGUCAGUACCUGGGUGGGAGACCUCCUGGGAAACUAAGGUUGCUGCUGGAA